rnacentral:rRNA from 1 species
GAUGAACGCUGACAGAAUGCUUAACACAUGCAAGUCGACUCGAGUCUUCGGACUUGGGUGGCGCACGGGUGAGUAACGCGUAAAGAACUUGCCUCUUAGACCGGGACAACAUCUGGAAACGGAUGCUAAUACCGGAUAUUAUGGUUUUUUCGCAUGGAGGAAUCAUGAAAGCUAGAUGCGCUAAGAGAGAGCUUUGCGUCCCAUUAGCUAGUUGGUGAGGUAACGGCCCACCAAGGCAAUGAUGGGUAGCCGGCCUGAGAGGGUGAACGGCCACAAGGGGACUGAGACACGGCCCUUACUCCUACGGGAGGCAGCAGUGGGGAAUAUUGGACAAUGGACCACAAGUCUGAUCCAGCAAUUCUGUGUGCACGAUGACGUUUUUCGGAAUGUAAAGUGCUUUCAGUCGGGAAGAAGUCAGUGACGGUACCGACAGAAGAAGCGACGGCUAAAUACGUGUCAGCAGCCGCGGUAAUACGUAUGUCGCAAGCGUUAUCCGGAUUUAUUGGGCGUAAAGCGCGUCUAGGCGGCAAGGAAAGUCUGAUGUGAAAAUGCGGAGCUCAACUCCGUAUGGCGUUGGAAACUGCCUUACUAGAGUACUGGAGAGGUAGGCGGAACUACAAGUGUAGAUGGUGAAAUUCGUAUAUAUGUGUAGGAAUGCCGAUGGGGAAGCCAGCCUACUGGACAGAUACAGACGCUCAAGCGCGAAAGCUUGGGGUAGCAAUCAGGAUAUAAUCCCCUGGUUGUCCAAUGGGGAAUUCUCAUUGUGAUUUUAGCUUAUUGGUUACCUGCGACCUUCGUGGGGGGGAAUAAAAUAUAUAACUUUUGUUUUUUUUGGUACUUUUAUUAGUU